AGCGAACGCUGGCGGCAGGCCUAACACAUGCAAGUCGAACGAACCUUUCGGGGUUAGUGGCGGACGGGUGAGUAACACGUGGGAACGUGCCUUAAGGUUCGGAAUACCCCAGGGAAACUUGGGCUAAAACCGAAGGUGCCCUCCGGGGAAAAGAUUAAUCCCCUUUAGAGCGGCCCGCGUCUGAUUAGCUAGUUGGUUGAGGUAAUGGCUCACCAAGGCGACGAUCAGUAGCUGGUCUGAGAGGAUGAUCAGCCACAUUGGGACUGAGACACGGCCCAAACUCCUACGGGAGGCAGCAGUGGGGAAUCUUGCGCAAUGGGCGAAAGCCUGACGCAGCCAUGCCGCGUGAAUGAUGAAGGUCUUAGGAUUGUAAAAUUCUUUCACCGGGGACGAUAAUGACGGUACCCGGAGAAGAAGCCCCGGCUAACUUCGUG
rnacentral:rRNA from 1 species